rnacentral:lncRNA from 1 species
AAGAUCCCAGGAUACCAAAAGGCUCUGUGGGAACAUACCUUUGUGGAAUGUCUCCCAUCUCCUGAUACCUGAGGUGCAGUAAACAAGGUGAUAGAAUGAAUGCCAGGGAACUGAAGCAAGUAAAGUUAGAUUUGGUGUUACAAUUUGUGGCCCAGAUUUGGAAGUCUAUGAACUACCCAUCCCAGGGCUCUCAGUAAUCCCAUCAUCCAUUUCAUUAACACUCUUUGUACUCUGCUAAACACUUGAUACAGAUGUAAUUUUAAUGAAUCUUCAUGGCCUUAUGAAUGGUCAAAUAGGGCCUUCUAAACCUCUGGAGAAGUGAGAUCUGAAUUUGGAGAGGACAUGGGGAAGAAUCAAUCAUCAACAGAUAAUCUUUAAGUCCAGACCCAGGAAUAUCAGAUCUGAAGUGACACCAUCUUUUCUGUCUUCUGACAAACCUCAUCAACCCCAAAAGUUCCUGUUGCAAGGAUCCAAGAAAACUCAGUAAAGAUCUCUUUGGAAUCACUUUGUUGUGACAAAAUUGAUUCAGUGACUCUCCUAUUAUUUGUAAAAAAUCUGCUAAAGAAAACAACAACAUCAGUGAUUAAAGCUACACUGAAAUGAAACUUUAUAUGCUAAUUAUCUUCAAGAGCCCCUCCUAAAAUAAAAGGGCUUGUUAGGCUACUAGAAAUACAUUAUAAAGUAAGAUAAUCACCUAUCUGUGUAAACACAUAUAAUUCUAAACUUAAAAUACAUUACAGUUUAUAUAUCAUGAAAUGUAGUUAGUUUCAAAAAUUAUAUCCCAAAUCUGUAGUUCAGGUUAUAAAUAAAAAGAUGUGGGUACAAAGAAGACGUUACGUGUAAGACCAAUAUUUUAACAAGAUAAUCUAGUUAUUGCUUAGUGUAAUGUGACAUUUGCCUUUCUUUUUUUCACUGUAUAUACCAGUCACAAAUCUUGAUUAUUAAUAUUAAUGAGGCUCCCUUUUAAGUCUGUUGCUUUAAGAAAAAACAGAAGUGGUAUUACUUCCAUGGUGGUAUAUAUUCACAGAUCACAGACAACCAAGAAGAAUGUGUCAAGUCACAUUUCCUUCUCAAUUUAGCAAUGUAACCUAAUAGGCAGAAUAAGCUUCUGUUAAACAUUUAUUCUUGUUAUUAAUACAUAAUACCAUGCUUCUCAGUUUUCAAAUUUCAAGACAAAAUUCAACUAAGUAUUGAAUGAAACAACUGUUAACAUGUUUAAAAAAGCUUUCAUGGGAAAAUGAAAUGUUUGAUGAUAUUUUAACCUGAAGAUACAUAUACAUACAUUUCUCAACCAUAUUAAUCUUACAGCCAUAUUAUUUGCAUAUUGUGAAUAUAUUUGUAGUUUUGGUUAACUGCAUAGUCAACUCAAUAUUAUCAUCAUAAUCAUUGUUUCAUCUGCAAUAUCAAGAUGUAUAUAUUCAGAAAUGGUUAUUUUGUUUUUAUGCCAAUGCUUUCAAAUGUUUUAAUAGGGAGUUGCAUAAAGAGAUCUAACUUAAGAGCAUAUUUAAGAGCAGAUGCAGAAUUUAAGUCAUUUAACAUCUCUAGAUAUAAAGCAGGAUAAUAACAUGAAUAUUCUAAUAAUUAGACUAAAAAUCAGAAAAAGGUAAUUAAAAUGUGAUACUGGGUACAGGGGUGAGAAGAGAGAUGAGAAAUCCACUAAAGACUUCAAAUUCAUAAGAAUUCAUCUGCUUUAAGAGAAAUAAACAAACUUAGAGAAGUGUUACAGUCUAAAAACCAAAAACUAUAGCCAGUUUCUUCUAGAAAUAUGAACAAGUAUAUAGAAUUGCAG